rnacentral:tRNA from 1 species
CAAGAGGUAUUUUAGUGUCCAAAAUUCUGGCUUUGGGAGCCAGCGACGGGGGUGAAAAUCCCCCCUUUUUGA